rnacentral:rRNA from 1 species
CUGGCGGCGUGCCUAAUACAUGCAAGUCGAACGGUCUUUUCUAUGGAAGCUUGCUUCCACUGAGAAGAUAGUGGCGAACGGGUGAGUAACACGUGGGUAACCUGCCCAUAAGAGGGGGAUAACAUCCGGAAACGGGUGCUAAUACCGCAUAGUUUUCUUGAUUGCAUGAUUGAGAAAGGAAAGACGGCCUUUGUGCUGUCGCUUAUGGAUGGACCCGCGGCGUAUUAGUUAGUUGGUGAGGUAACGGCUCACCAAGACGAUGAUACGUAGCCGACCUGAGAGGGUGAUCGGCCACAUUGGGACUGAGACACGGCCCAAACUCCUACGGGAGGCAGCAGUAGGGAAUCUUCCGCAAUGGACGAAAGUCUGACGGAGCAACGCCGCGUGAGUGAAAGAAGGUUUUCGGAUCGUAAAACUCUGUUGUCAGAGAAGAACAAGUUGGAGAGUAACUGCUCCAGCCUUGACGGUAUCUGACCAGAAAGCCACGGCUAACUACGUGCCAGCCGCCGC